GAUGAACGCUGGCGGCGUGCCUAAUACAUGCAAGUCGAGCGAACAGACGAGGAUCUUGUUCUUCUGACGUUAGCGGCGGACGGGUGAGUAACAAGUGGCUCACCUAUCUAUAAGACCGGACUAACUUCGAGAAACCGGAGCUAAUACCGGAUAAUAUAUUGAACCGCAUGGUGCAAUAGUGAAAGACGGUCUUGCUGUCACUUAUAGAUGGAUCCGCGCCGCAUUAGCUACUUGUUAAGGUAACGGCUUACCAAGGCAACGAUGCGUAGCCGACCUGGGAGGGUGAUCGGCCACACUGGAACUGAGACGCGGUCCAGACUACUACGGGAGGCAGCAGUAGAGUAGGGUACACUGUGGGCGAAAGCGUGACGGAGCAACGCCGCGUGGGUGAUGAAGGUCUUCGGAUCGUAAAACUCUGUUAUUAGGGAAGAACGAAUGUGUAAGUAACUGUGCGCGUCUGAACGGUACCGAUCAGGAAGCCACGGCUAACUACGUG
rnacentral:rRNA from 1 species